UGUGUUGAACAUUAUAAGGAGGCACCAAG
rnacentral:piRNA from 1 species